GUGGGUCUAUAGUUGUCGAUUUUGCAAACAGCCCCCUCCCCCUCCCUACACAACUAAUCAUUGGAGUAAGACUUUUUUUUCUGGUGGGGAGUAAGUGGGUGAGGGGGUGGCCGACCACCCAGAGCGGCAGUGUCUAUGAGGCAUUUCCACGCCUUGGCCCAGGGCAGGUGGACCAGCAUUGUUCUGUGUGUCAUCACCUCGUUCAGAUUCCCCAGAGGAGAUUCCGCAGCUCCAGCUCCGAAGCAUCGAUAUUUUUUUCCUCUCCCUCUCUCUCUAAACCCCCCUCCCAGUGUAUUUUUUUAAAAAAAGGAAGCAGUACUGGCAGAGGAACGUCUGUUAAUCGAGAUCUCCCCUUUUCCAUCAGAAGUCAGAAGGCAAAGGGUUGCAGAGAUGUACAUAAGCAACUGAGACAAAGAGAGAGAAAACUGAGCAACAUCCCUCCUUUAUCCUUCUCUCUGCAAAACCACCUUUGAAGUUUCAAACACUGUCUGCUGAUUGUGUCCAUCCAGGGACACCCCUGUUUUCUUCAAAAAAUUCAACCAAGCUUUAAUGUCUCCAGAUGAACAAUCAAAGCAGUCACCUGCAUCUUUAAAUUGAACACAACGGGGUUAUCAUCGACAAGUCAUUAGAUCAUCAAAUUCAGGAUGAAGCCAGCCAAAUCACUAAAAUACUGACAGCAUAUUCCUUUUAAUUUUUAUGAACUCCAGUUUGAGCAACAUAUUGUUCAACUCUGUAAUCUGUGUUGUUGUUCUAAGAUUUGUGAGUGUGUUUGCACGUGCGUACA